rnacentral:rRNA from 1 species
UACGUAGGUGACAAGCGUUGUCCGGAUUACUGGGCGUAAAGCGCCUGUAGGCGGCCUGUCAAGUCCGGCCUGAAAGCCCCCCGCUCAACGGGGGAGGGUGGCUGGAAACUGGCAGGCUUGAGGGCGAGAGAGGAGGGUGGAAUUCCUGGUGUAGCGGUGAAAUGCGUAGAGAUCAGGAGGAACACCCGUGGCGAAGGCGGCCCUCUGGCUCGACCCUGACGCUGAGAGGCGAAAGCGUGGGGAGCGAACGGG